rnacentral:tRNA from 1 species
AAGCCCCGGCAAGAGUCAUUUGCUCUUCUAAAUUUGCAAUUUAAUGUGCUAUACACCACAAGGCU